CUGCCCGGUGCUCGAAGGUUAAUUGAUGGGGUUAGCAUUAGCGAAGCUCUUGAUCGAAGCCCGAGUAAACGGCGGCCGUAACUAUAACGGUCCUAAGGUAGCGAAAUUCCUUGUCGGUUAAAUACCGACCUGCAUGAAUGGCGUAACGAGAUGGGAGCUGUCUCAAAGAGGGAUCCAGUGAAAUUGUAGUGGAGGUGAAAAUUCCUCCUUCCCGCGGCAAGACGGAGAGACCCCGUGGACCUUUACUACAGCUUGACACUGCUAUUUGGAUAAGAAUGUGCAGGAUAGGUGGGAGGCUUUGAGUAUAUGACGCCAGUUGUAUAUGAGCCAUUGUUGAGAUACCACUCUUUCUUAUUUGGGUAGCUAACCAGCUUGAGUUAUCCUCAAGUGGGACAAUGUCUGGUGGGUAGUUUGACUGGGGCGGUCGCCUCCCAAAUAAUAACGGAGGCUUACAAAGGUUGGCU
rnacentral:rRNA from 1 species